UGACGAGUAUCCAACCAGAAAGCCACGGCUAACUACGUGCCAGCAGCCGCGGUAAUACGUAGGUGGCAAGCGUUAUCCGGAUUUAUUGGGCGUAAAGCGAGCGCAGGCGGUUUUUUAAGUCUGUUGUGAAAGCCCUCGGCUUAACCGAGGGAGCGCAUCGGAAACUGGGAAACUUGAGUGCAGAAGAGGACAGUGGAACUCCAUGUGUAGCGGUGAAUUGCGUAGAUAUAUGGAAGAACACCAGUGGCGAAGGCGGCUGUCUGGUCUGUAACUGACGCUGAGGCUCGAAAGCAUGGGUAGCGAACAGGAUUAGAUACCCUGGUAGUCCAUGCCGUAAACGAUGAAUGCUAGGUGUUGGAGGGUUUCCGCCCUUCAGUGCCGCAGCUAACGCAUUAAGCAUUCCGCCUGGGGAGUACGACCGCAAGGUUGAAACUCAAAGGAAUUGACGGGGGCCCGCACAAGCGGCGGAGCAUGUGGUUUAAUUCGAAGCAACGCGAAGAACCUUACCAGGUCUUGACAUCUUUUGAUCACCUGAGAGAUCAGGUUUCCCCUUCGGGGGCAAAAUGACAGGUGGUGCAUGGUUGUCGUCAGCUCGUGUCGUGAGAUGUUGGGUUAAGUCCCGCAACGAGCGCAACCCUUAUGACUAGUUGCCAGCAUUUAGUUGGGCACUCUAGUAAGACUGCCGGUGACAAACCGGAGGAAGGUGGGGAUGACGUCAAAUCAUCAUGCCCCUUAUGACCUGGGCUACACACGUGCUACAAUGGUUG
rnacentral:rRNA from 2 species